UGAGCUUGCCACUGAAGGGAGAGAAUCUCUUGAACUUAGUCUUCAUGUUGAGAUGGAGUGCUGUAUAGGCAGAGAACUCCUUCACAAAGUGGAGAGUAUUCUGAACUGGCUGGAAGCUUUUGGAAGAAGGAUUUUUUGGGAAGGAGGGUACCUUUCCUAAAAGCACUGGUGUCUGCUAGCUACUGUCGGAAAAGGAGGAACCACUCUGCAUGGGCUAUCUUUUACUGUGCUGUACUGUCCUUAGUCUGUACUCUCACUCUCUAAACUGAGCAGGCAUUGAAAUAUAUUGCUUAAUAUUAUUCAGAAAGGAGUUGAUAAAUCUGUAGAUUAAAAAAAAAAAUACC